rnacentral:rRNA from 1 species
CCACGGGUGGCUGCAGUGAGGAAUAUUGGUCAAUGGGCGCGAGCCUGAACCAGCCAAGUAGCGUGAAGGAUGACUGCCCUACGGGUUGUAAACUUCUUUUAUAAAGGAAUAAAGUGAGGCAAGUGUGCCUGUUUGUAUGUACUUUAUGAAUAAGGAUAGGCUAACUCCGUGCAAGCAGCCGCGGUAAUACGGAGGAUCCGAGCGUUAUCCGGAUGUCUUGGGUUUAAAGGGAGCGUAGAUGGGUUGUUAAGUCAGUUGUGACAGUUUGAGGCUCAAACGUAAAAUUGCAAUUGAGACUGGCAGCCUGGAGUACAGUUGAGGUAGGCGGAAUUCGUGGUGUAGCGGUGAAAUGCUUAGAUAUCACGAAGAACUCCGAUUGCGAAGGCAGCCUACUAAACUGCCACUGACAUUGAUGCUCGAAAGUGUGGGUAUCAAACAGGAUUAGAUACCCUUGUAGUC